UACGUAGGGUGUGAGCGUUGUCCGGAAUUAUUGGGCGUAAAGAGCUCGUAGGCGGUCUGUCGCGUCGAUCGUGAAAACUUGGGGCUUAACCCUGAGCUUGCGGUCGAUACGGGCAUGACUUGAGUUCGGCAGGGGAGACUGGAAUUCCUGGUGUAGCGGUGAAAUGCGCAGAUAUCAGGAGGAACACCGGUGGCGAAGGCGGGUCUCUGGGCCGUAACUGACGCUGAGGAGCGAAAGCAUGGGGAGCGAACAGG
rnacentral:rRNA from 1 species